rnacentral:rRNA from 1 species
UACAGAGGUCCCAAGCGUUGUUCGGAUUCACUGGGCGUAAAGGGUGCGUAGGUGGCGGGGUAAGUCUGAUGUGAAGUCUCCGAGCUUAACUCGGAAACUGCAUCGGAUACUGCCUUGCUCGAGGGUUGGAGGGGGGACUGGAAUACUUGGUGUAGCAGUGAAAUGCGUAGAUAUCAAGUGGAACACCAGUGGCGAAGGCGAGUCCCUGGACAACUCCUGACACUGAGGCACGAAAGCUAGGGGAGCAAACAGG